CCUCGGGGGAAAACAGGAGGGCGGGGCGUCGUCGGAAGUGACGACACUAAGCACGCCCUUAAAUAGCAGUAGGCCGCUCUCCCCGCUCUCUCGGCCUUAGCGCCAUCUUCCUUGGGACUCCUGCGCCAUGAGAGCGAAGUGGAGGAAGAAGCGUAUGCGCAGGCUGAAGCGCAAGAGAAGAAAGAUGAGGCAGAGGUCCAAGUAAACCUGCGGGUGCACCCAGCGAGGCCGAGGAGCGGAAGAGGAGGCCGGGGCGGGAUGCUGGUACGAGCUGCUGGACCGACCGUGCCGCCGCCGGUCUGAGUCUCGACUGAGGGACCCGGAGCCCGCGGACACCGCCUCCGAGGCCGGCCUGCCUCCCUACAACAACAGCCCACGGUCCCCACAACAGCGGGCCUGCGGCGAUCUGGACUCGUUCUGUUCUCACUGUGGCCCCGUGUAACCCGUGUACAAUAAACCAUCUUUCUCACUGUCUGAGCUGAAGAAUCAAA